rnacentral:rRNA from 1 species
AGCAGCCGCGGUAAUUCCAGCUCCAAUAGCGUAUAUUAAAGUUGUUGCAGUUAAAAAGCUCGUAGUUGAAUUUCGGGAUCAAUAUGUUGGUCGUGCCAUUGGUACGUACUGGCAUUAUUGGUUUCUACCUUCUGAAGAACCUCGAUGUCAUUAAUUUGGUGUCUUGGGGAAUCAGGACUGUUACUUUGAAAAAAUUAGAGUGUUUAAAGCAGGCUCGCGCUUGAAUACAUUAGCAUGGAAUAAUGAAAUAGGACGUUUGAUUCUAUUUUGUUGGUUUCUAGGAUCGACGUAAUGAUUAAUAGGGAUAGUUGGGGGCAUUAGUAUUCAAUUGUCAGAGGUGAAAUUCUUGGAUUUAUUGAAGACUAACUACUGCGAAAGCAUUUGCCAAGGAUGUUUUCAUUAAUCAAGAACGAAAGUUAGGGGAUCGAAGACGAUCAGAUACCGUCGUAGUCUUAACCAUAAACUAUGCCGACUAGGGAUCGGAUGAUGUUAAUUUUUUAAUGACUCAUUCGGCGCCUUACG